rnacentral:rRNA from 1 species
AUUGAACGCUGGCGGUAUGCUUAAGACAUGCAAGUCGUGCGGUAGAAGGCUUCGGCCUUUGAGAGCGGCGGACGGGUGAGUAACACGUGGGAAUCUGCCUAUUAGUGGGGGACAGCCCAGCGAAAGCUGGAUUAAUACCGCAUACGCCUACGGGGAAAGGCAGCAAUGCGCUAAUAGAUGAGCCCGCGUAAGAUUAGCUAGUUGGUAAGGUAAAGGACUUACUAAGGCGACGAUCUUUAGCUGGUCUGAGAGGAUGGCCAGCCACAUCGGGACUGAGACACGGCCCGGACUCCUACGGGAGGCAGCAGUCGGGAAUAUUGGACAAUGGGCGCAAGCCUGAUCCAGCAAUACCGCGUGUGUGAAGAAGGCCUGCGGGUUGUAAAGCACUUUCAGUUGGGAAGAUAAUGACGUUACCAACAGAAGAAGCACCGGCUAACUCCGUGCCAGCAGCCGCGGUAAUGUAUUCGUGU